GGAGGGAGCUAGCGUUGUUCGGAAUUACUGGGCGUAAAGCGCACGUAGGCGGCUUUGUAAGUCAGAGGUGAAAGCCUGGAGCUCAACUCCAGAACUGCCUUUGAGACUGCAUCGCUUGAAUCCAGGAGAGGUGAGUGGAAUUCCGAGUGUAGAGGUGAAAUUCGUAGAUAUUCGGAAGAACACCAGUGGCGAAGGCGGCUCACUGGACUGGUAUUGACGCUGAGGUGCGAAAGCGUGGGGGGAGCAAACAGGAUUAGAUACCCUGGUAGUCCACGCCGUAAACGAUGAUAACUAGCUGUCCGGGCACUUGGUGCUUGGGUGGCGCAGCUAACGCAUUAAGUUAUCCGCCUGGGAGUACGGUCGCAAGAUUA
rnacentral:rRNA from 1 species